rnacentral:rRNA from 1 species
AUUGAACGCUGGCGGCAUGCUUUACACAUGCCAGUCGAACGGUAACAGGCCUUCGGGUGCUGACGAGUGGCGAACGGGUGAGUAAUGCAUCGGAACGUGCCCAGAGGUGGGGGAUAACGCAGCGAAAGCUGUGCUAAUACCGCAUGUGAUCUGAGGAUGAAAGCGGGGGACCAGGCAGCAAUGUUUGGCCUCGCGCCUUUGGAGCGGCCGAUGUCAGAUUAGGUAGUUGGUGGGGUAAAGGCCUACCAAGCCGACGAUCUGUAGCUGGUCUGAGAGGACGACCAGCCACACUGGGACUUAGACACGGCCCAGACUCCUACGGGAGGCAGCAGUGGGGAAUUUUGGACAAUGGGCGCAAGCCUGAUCCAGCAAUGCCGCGUGCGGGAAGAAGGCCUUCGGGUUGUAAACCGCUUUUGUACGGAACGAAAAGGCUCUGGCUAAUACCUGGGGCUGAUGACGGUACCGUAAGAAUAAGCACCGGCUAACUACGUG